AGGAUAAUAGUCUAAAAACAACAUUUAACUUGCACUUAAAAAUUAUUGGAUACCCCAAUUUAUCUUA
rnacentral:tRNA from 1 species